GACGAACGCUGGCGGCGUGCUUAACACAUGCAAGUCGAACGGAAAGGCCCUGCUUUUGUGGGGUGCUCGAGUGGCGAACGGGUGAGUAACACGUGAGUAACCUGCCCUUGACUUUGGGAUAACUUCAGGAAACUGGGGCUAAUACCGGAUAGGAGCUCCUGCUGCAUGGUGGGGGUUGGAAAGUUUCGGCGGUUGGGGAUGGACUCGCGGCUUAUCAGCUUGUUGGUGGGGUAGUGGCUUACCAAGGCUUUGACGGGUAGCCGGCCUAGAGGGUGACCGGCCACAUUGGGACUGAGAUACGGCCCAGACUCCUACGGGAGGCAGCAGUGGGGAAUAUGGCACAAUGGGCGGAAGCCUGAUGCAGCAACGCCGCGUGCGGGAUGACGGCCUUCGGGUUGUAAACCGCUUUCGCCUGUGACGAAGCGUGAGUGACGGUAAUGGGUAAAGAAGCACCGGCUAACUACGU
rnacentral:rRNA from 1 species